UUGCGUGUCUUGGAGUCGGGUUGUUUGGGAGCGCAGCCCAAAGYAGGUGGUAAACUUCAUCUAAGACUGAAUAUGACUACGAGUCCGAUAGCGAACAAGUACCGUGAGGGAAAGUUGCAAAGCACUUUGAAGAGAGAGUUAAAGAGGACGUGAAACCGAUGAGGUGGAAACGGACAGAGCUGGCGUAUCUGGCCUGCAUUCAGCCGCUGCGCGUCGGGCCCCGGUUUGCCGCACUCCAGAUUGGGAAGGUGGCUGGGCUGCUGGCGUGCUUGUGGUGCAUUUGCAGGUGGAGUGCGCUGAGGCGCUCGGCUCAGCGGCAUGAGCUCGGCCUUGAGGCCAACCGUGCAAGCGGUCUGGUACCCGGGUCGGGGGAGUGUUGUUUGGGCUGAGUGUUCGCUUGGGCACUGGUUUCGGGCCCGGGUGGGUGCCGAGCUGGCGGUCGACGUCGGUCGCAUGCGACACGUGUCAGCAAUCAGUUCGGUCCUGCUCGAGCUCUCGCGUGUCCGGCCUCGGUGUAAAAGCCGGUCAUCUGUCCGAC
rnacentral:rRNA from 1 species